GCUGCUGUGGAUCAUGGCUGAUCAUCUUCUUCCGAUAGUGCAAUCAAUUACAAGUCAUGAGGAAUCUGUGGGUUCAAAUCCCACCGGCAGCA